UACGUAGGGUGCAAGCGUUGUCCGGAAUUAUUGGGCGUAAAGAGCUCGUAGGCGGUUUGUCGCGUCGGCUGUGAAAACUCGGGGCUCAACCCCGAGCCUGCAGUCGAUACGGGCAAACUUGAGUGUGGUAGGGGAGACUGGAAUUCCUGGUGUAGCGGUGAAAUGCGCAGAUAUCAGGAGGAGCACCGGCGGCGAAGGCGGGUCUCUGGGCCAUAACUGACGCUGAGGAGCGAAAGCGUGGGGAGCGAACAGG
rnacentral:rRNA from 1 species